UACAGAGGUCUCAAGCGUUGUUCGGAUUCAUUGGGCGUAAAGGGUGCGUAGGCGGCGCGGUAAGUCGGGUGUGAAAUCUCGGAGCUUAACUCCGAAACUGCAUUCGAUACUGCCGUGCUUGAGGACUGGAGAGGAGACUGGAAUUUACGGUGUAGCGGUGAAAUGCGUAGAUAUCGUAAGGAAGACCAGUGGCGAAGGCGGGUCUCUGGACAGGUUCCUGACGUGAGGCACGAAGGUCAGGGGAGC
rnacentral:rRNA from 1 species